UGCUCAAGAUGAACGCUGGCGGCGUGCGUAAUACAUGCAAGUCGAGCGAACAGACGAGGAGCUUGCUCCUUUGACGUUAGCGGCGGACGGGUGAGUAACACGUAGGUAACCUACCUAUAAGACUGGGAUAACUUCGGGAAACCGGAGCUAAUACCGGAUAAUAUUUCGAACCGCAUGGUUCGAUAGUGAAAGAUGGCUUUGCUAUCACUUAUAGAUGGACCUGCGCCGUAUUAGCUAGUUGGUAAGGUAACGGCUUACCAAGGCAACGAUACGUAGCCGACCUGAGAGGGUGAUCGGCCACACUGGAACUGAGACACGGUCCAGACUCCUACGGGAGGCAGCAGUAGGGAAUCUUCCGCAAUGGGCGAAAGCCUGACGGAGCAACGCCGCGUGAGUGAUGAAGGUCUUCGGAUCGUAAAACUCUGUUAUUAGGGAAGAACAAACGUGUAAGUAACUGUGCACGUCUUGACGGUACCUAAUCAGAAAGCCACGGCUAACUACGUGCCAGCAGCCGCGGUAAUACGUAGGUGGCAAGCGUUAUCCGGAAUUAUUGGGCGUAAAGCGCGCGUAGGCGGUUUUUUAAGUCUGAUGUGAAAGCCCACGGCUCAACCGUGGAGGGUCAUUGGAAACUGGAAAACUUGAGUGCAGAAGAGGAAAGUGGAAUUCCAUGUGUAGCGGUGAAAUGCGCAGAGAUAUGGAGGAACACCAGUGGCGAAGGCGACUUUCUGGUCUGUAACUGACGCUGAUGUGCGAAAGCGUGGGGAUCAAACAGGAUUAGAUACCCUGGUAGUCCACGCCGUAAACGAUGAGUGCUAAGUGUUAGGGGGUUUCCGCCCCUUAGUGCUGCAGCUAACGCAUUAAGCACUCCGCCUGGGGAGUACGACCGCAAGGUUGAAACUCAAAGGAAUUGACGGGGACCCGCACAAGCGGUGGA
rnacentral:rRNA from 1 species